GUGGGUAUGAGAACACCCAACUUGAAGCUGCUUAAGCAGAAAUGGGUUGGCGCACGUAACUGGGCGUUCGAUGUGUGAGAGGCAUUGGGGGACCGAGUCCGGUUGUUCCAGUCCUACGUCUCUGCAGUUACCACGGUGCUUUCUGCCCUCGUUUUCUCCCUGUUCUUCAUCUCGGGCUGGAGGCACAAUGGAUGCCGAAUUUCCAGGUCUUGCAGCCACACAAAACAGUAUCUGGAGGAAGACAAGCUCAUUUUUUCGUACAGGUCUCAAGAAUAAGAGCCAUCAGUAGGGUUUUUAAAGGAGAGGUAGGAGUCCUGAAUCAGCAAUACAGAGCAGGCGCCCAACCUCCCGGCCAGCCUGGACAUACCUGGAGCCCGUGUCUGAGAAGGGCAGAAGUUUCAGACAAAAGGAACAUCUGAGGAGAGGUUAAGCACAGAGCUGUGCUUGCUGAACCCAGCUGGUUCCAGCAGGGCGCACAACAAAAGGGUUUGAGAGGCAGAGGAGGGCGUGAUCGCACCGGAUUAGGGGGUGUCAAGAACAGCGCUGUGCAGGACACCGUCUUCAAGCAUAACUGAUGAUCCUGGGACUGCCUAUCCCAUCUCAGUGUAACACCUGGAUCUGUCUUUAAAAUGCGGAUUCCUGGGAUCUACUUCAAAAGGCCAAGAUUCCACAAGUCUGUCUGGGUGUAGCCCGGGAAUCUGCUGUAUCAUCAAGGACUCCCAGCUGUGCCGAGUGAGGUGCUGGAGGGCCAUACUGAGAAAAGCUUGCUUCAGAAGUCCUAGAGCUGAAUUUUCUUCAAAUUUGGACCUGAACAAAAAUAGCAAACCUACUUUUCCAGCCCCCCUUGGAGCCUCAGGCUGAGCUGACCCAGAAACCUGAAGCAAGCUUAUCUGUCACCUGUGCUACCUGUUUCUCCUCUUCGUGAUGAUGAGGAAAUGUCAUCUUUGCCUGUCCAGCACCCACUUCCUCUCUCUCUCUCUCUCUCUCUCUCUCUCUCUCUCUCUCUCUCUCUCUCUCUCUCUCCUAGCCCUCUAGAUUUUUCUCACUCCUGACGAAAGCUGACACCCUCCUUCGCCCCCCCUCCUACUCCCAACUCAAGUCAGCCAAGCUCAGCCUCUAGGGCAUUUACUAUAGAGAAAGGGAAAGGAGUGUUCUGCCGUCAGGGAUACUGGACUGUUGGGAACCGACACCUGCCCUGUCUUGUGUUACAUGAAUAUGAUAGAGUCUGCUGAGAACGACACAAUAGAGACGGUGCCCAGUGACAAAUGUCUUUUGGGAACAAGAGUUACUCUUUUUGGCUGAGGUCAGUUUAAGCUGGAAUUUCUCCUGAAUUCUGACUAAUGCAUACAACUCCUUAUCCCACACACCCAAGUAAAGGCCCUUACACCAACGCCCUCUCUCUCCUCCUCUCCUCCCCACCUCUCUGCAGAGAAGAAUCUUCCCUCCCUGGGCUGUCUCAAUGUCCCUGCCCCUCACUCUCCUCACAGAACAUCCAUCACCUCCUUGCCACCCUCAAAUCGUAAGGAUUCAAGUUCCCUGUGUUCUGCAGGGAGAGACCUUCCCCUUCAGUCCACCUUUCCUUUACUCUUUUUUUUUUAUAAACAACAUUUUCUUUUUUUUUCCAAAGACUUUAUUUAUUUAUUUUUUAGAGAGGGAAGGG